AGUGAACGCUGGCGGUAGGCCUAACACAUGCAAGUCGAACGGCAGCACAGUAAGAGCUUGCUCUUACGGGUGGCGAGUGGCGGACGGGUGAGGAAUACAUCGGAAUCUACUUGUUCGUGGGGGAUAACGUAGGGAAACUUACGCUAAUACCGCAUACGACCUACGGGUGAAAGCAGGGGAUCUUCGGACCUUGCGCGAUUGAAUGAGCCGAUGUCGGAUUAGCUAGUUGGCGGGGUAAAGGCCCACCAAGGCGACGAUCCGUAGCUGGUCUGAGAGGAUCAUCAGCCACACUGGAACUGAGACACGGCCCAGACUCCUACGGGAGGCAGCAGUGGGGAAUAUUGGACAAUGGGCGCAAGCCUGAUCCAGCCAUACCGCGUGGGUGAAGAAGGCCUUCGGGUUGUAAAGCCCUUUUGUUGGGAAAGAAAAGCAGCAGGUUAAUACCCCGCUGUUCUGACGGUACCCAAAGAAUAAGCACCGGCUAACUUCGUG
rnacentral:rRNA from 1 species